rnacentral:ncRNA from 1 species
UUAAUUUGACUCAACACGGGGAAACUUACCAGGUCCAGACAUAGUAAGGAUUGACAGACUGAGAGCUGUUUCUUGAUUCUAUGGGUGGUGGUGCAUGGCCGUUAUUAGUUGGUGGAUCAAUUUGUCUAGUUAAUUCCGUUAACGAAUGAGACCUCAGCCUGCUAACUAGCUAUGAGGAGGUAUCCCUUCAUAGCCAGCUUCUUAGAUAGACUACGGCCUUUUAGUCUGCAGAAUCCCGUGAACCAUCAAGUCUUUAAACGCAAGUUACGUCCAAAGCC